rnacentral:snRNA from 1 species
GAACUAGCUUUGGCAGCACAUAUACUGAAAUUGUAACAAUACAGAGAAGAUUAGCUUGGUUCUUGAACAAGGAUGACAUGCAAGUUCCUGGAGUGUUCCACUUGUUU